rnacentral:rRNA from 1 species
AUUGAACGCUGGCGGCAGGCUUAACACAUGCAAGUCGAGCGAGCGGCGGACGGGUGAGUAAUGGCUGGGAAACUGCCUGAUGGAGGGGGAUAACUACUGGAAACGGUAGCUAAUACCGCAUACCAUCAUAUGUGCCCAGGUGGGAUUAGCUAGUGGGUGGGGUAAUGGCUCACCUAGGCGACGAUCCCUAGCUGGUCUGAGAGGUAGAACGGCCACACUGGAACUGAGACACGGUCCAGACUCCUACGGGAGGCAGCAGUGGGGAAUAUUGCACAAUGGGCGCAAGCCUGAUGCAGCCAUGCCGCGUGAGUGAAGAAGGCCUUCGGAUUGUAAAGCACUGUCGGCGGGGAAGCGUUACUCGCAGAAGAAGCACCGGCUAACUCCGUGCCAGCAGCCGCGGUAAUUC